AACCACUCAUGCCUAGCGUGGUAUUGGGGCACGCGGUCUCGCGGCCCUCAAAAUUAGUGGCGGCGCCGGUGGGCUCUAAGCGUAGUACAUACUCCCGCUAUAGAGUUUCUCCGGUGGCUCGCCAGAACCCCCAAUUUUUUACA
rnacentral:misc_RNA from 1 species